UAGAGAGAGACAUGCGCGCAUAUCAAUAAGCGGAGGAAAAGAAACUAACAAGGAUUCCCCUAGUAACGGCGAGUGAAGCGGGAAGAGCUCAAAUUUGAAAUCUUAAAGGGUUUCCCUUUACGAAUUGUAGUUUAAAGAAGUGUUUUCUGUUGAGGUUUUGGUAAAAGUUCUUUGGAAUAGGACAUCAUAGAGGGUGAGAAUCCCGUAUUUGACCUUUACUUUCAACUUUGUGAUACACUUUCAAAGAGUCGGAUUGUUUGGGAAUGCAGUCCAAAAUGGGUGGUAAAUUUCAUCUAAGCUAAAUAUUGGCGAUGAGACCGAUAGCGAACAAGUACCGUGAGGGAAAGAUGAAAAGAACUUUGAAAAGAGAGUUAAACAGUACGUGAAAUUGUCAAAAGGGAAGCGUUUGACACCAGUGUUGUUUUUCUGAAAAUCAAUUAAAGAACUGUUUAUGCUAAGCUGUUUAGACUUUAUCAGCUAAUCUGUUUAGUUUCUGAGCUUUUCUUUAAUGCACUUUUCAGUUAACAAGUCAACAUCAAUUUCUUUUGCUGUAAAAAAGCUUGAGGAAGGUGGCUUGAGAUUCGUCUUAAGUGUUUAUAGCCUCUUGCCUAUGCAGUCGGAGAGAUUGAGGUCUGCAGCGUAGAUCCUUCGGGGCUAAAUGCAUUUGUGCUAAGUUAUAGCAUUUUAUAGACAACUUGUUGACUAUGAUUUGUCUUGUAGCUUACUCGCUUAUGUUAUUUUACCUACGCUUAGGAUGUUGACGCAUGAGAUAUACGC
rnacentral:rRNA from 1 species